UAGAAGGUCAAUAAGUGGUCAACAAAGUGUCAGUGAUAGUCAUUCCAAGUUGCCCAAAAGUCAUGAAAAGUUGGCACAUUUUGUGUUCGAUGAGGUGGCAUAAUUAUAACAUUAGAAUUCAAGAAUUGAGAAUGCUUACAUCACAUGUGUGAUGAUUGCGAUACUGCUUGACCUAUGCUUUGAUACCAAACUGACACACCCCAACCCAGAAUGUCCACGUAGGCACCUGAAUCGCGAUUUGUUGGCUGACACCUGGAAGGUGACGAAGCCAUAAAGUGUAGUGAUGUGGAAAAUGUGAAUAAAUUAAAACUUAAAAGUGACUAAUUUAGAGUGCGCAUGUGAGCGGGAUUAAACCCAUAUCACACAAGUGAUGUCAGAGCAUAAAUAAAUUGCAGUAAAAGAAGAGUAAGAAGAUUUAUACUGAAAAGAGAAGUCUUCUAUGUAACAGCUUUUACCAACAAUCCUCGUCAUCACGAAACCUUUGGCACUAAGAUCCUGAAAGGGCAAAAAACAAGGGUGGGUAGGCCUGAAAAUAAAGUUUUGUAAAACCUUUUCGAAAAGUGUAACCCCUCGUUGUAAAACCAGUAUAUGGUUUCCCAAAAAUAUUAUAAUAAUUGUACGUAAUAAGGUACCCUGCAGCACUAGUGAGCUAAAGGAUGUAGGCCAACAACAAGGUAUCACAACAUCAAAUCUCAAUUCGUUAUUAUAAGAAAUCAAUGCUCAUUCAUUUAUGUAGGCACAUAAGUCCAUUGUGGAGAUAUUCUGACAAUGGAACAGGUUGGGUGUGGGUUUUACAUUUUAGUACUACAUCAUGUGAGAUGCGCUAGUGACAUCACAUACGAGUCCAAAACAUCACACAAAAGGACAAGCUGACACCUAACUCUGAUUCCAAAGCGAAUGUAAACGAUGCAUGUGAACUACACGUGACGUUGGUCCCAGAAUAAUACAAAUAACUAAGAGACACCGUGCAAACAUGUAAUAAUGAGUAGAUAAAACACAAGGAUAUCAUCCCACAAGUUUAUGCUCACAAAUAAUAUUAAAAACAUAAAGUGUACGAAAAGUCAAUUUGUAAAGCUAAACAUGGCAUGUCACAUCAUAAUAUAUAAAAGCAAUUGUUGGGAAAAUCACACACACAUAUAUAUAUAUACACGUAAAAACGAAAAGACCUACUAACAGGUACUUGAGAUGUCAUGUCCUUUCGAGCUAAAAUAGUCGGAGUCUCCGAUAGUAAUCACACACAAGUAUAAUAUUGGGGCCCAUUAGUAAAACUCAACUUAAACGACUAAAUUUGGGAAAAUGGAAUGCGGAUUCGGAAUCAAAGCGUCGAAAUACGCCAAGAGGCAUCCUGGUAAGUUUCGUAAAAGGUCAACGAAAAGUCAACGGUCAAUCCUAAAAAAGUCAACCGAGAUGCCUAUGCGGUCAACUAACCUAGUAAUUUCACUAAAUGGAUGUCAAAAAUAGACUCAGGUCGUCAAAAUUAGCUUAGGAGGGUUUUCAAGAAAAUUUCAAAAAAAGUUCCAUCCUCAGGCAGAAUAUUCUGUUAAAGUUAACGAAAUAUUCGAGGGAAAUAUUCCCUCUAAAAUUUGAAAUGGAUCCGGGUCAGAUUCGGGUUACGGUAAAUGGGUCGUGGGCUUGGGCCGAUUCUAGGUUUGGGCUUUUUUUUCCUAGUUGGGUUGACUCGAUCCCUGUCACGGGUUCCGUCGCUGAAAUCUGGGUAGCGAUUCCAAAGCUCCAAACGAGUUCAAAACUUAACCAUUUUUCACAUUCUUCCUACCAAAAUGAAGAUAAAUGAGAGUAGUUUAGAAUUAUACCUUUCCCCGAGUUAGCCGUGGCAGGAGUUGGCCUGAAAAGGCCUGCAACUCGCGGCAUACACCUCCCAAAAAACUAGGGAAGACUCCCGAGGUAUGUAUGCAUUCAAAUGUCACCAAAAUCCUUAAGAAACACUAGAAAAGUAUAGUAAAACACAAUCCACGAAGAUUUGGGUGGUUUUCAAAACUUACCUUCGUCGGAAACGAUGAGGAGUUGCUGAAGGACACAGCGAUGAUUUCGGUGCCUCUGUUCCGUGAGCACAAAGAAAGUGAGGGAGACAGAAGAUUGAGAUAGAGGGAGAGUGACAGAGGAGAGGGACGUGGUGAUUGGAAACAAGGAUGAUGGUGGUCGUGAAACAAGGAGUUAGCGAUCGCCAUGGCUGAUUCUGUGCAGCGAGCACAGAGUGAGUGAAAGAGGUAGGGAGUCCAUGAGAGAUGUGAGGGAGUCUGAUCCUUGUGAAUUGAGUUUUGGAAAGGAUGACAGGUAGUGGCCUUAAAAUGGUGGUUUAGUGAAGCUCGCCGAAGGUGUGGCGGUGAUGGCGGGCCUCUGUGUUUACAGAGAGAAAGAAAGUGAAAAGAACGAGUGUGCGGGACUUAGAGUGUUGAGGCAAAUGAGCGAUAAUGACAGAGGGAUAAUGCUUGACUGAGAGAAGAAAACUGAAAAGAUAGGGAAAGUGGAGAUUAAAGAAAACAAAAGAUAUGGAUGUGAUGGUCAAAAUAACAAAAGAAAUGAAUAUGGUGAUUAUAAAAACAAGAAGAGUCGGCAAAACUCAGAGAGGGAAAUCACGGUUUGGAUUUCCAAUCCCAUAUAGAAAUUAAACGUGGGUCUCACCACUCAAUUAUAGCAAUAGGUAGAAAAAUGCUAAUUUCGAAAAGGAAGCGUAACUAAGACUCCGAAUUCGGUUCUGCUUACAUCCACGAGUUCGUGCCGUCGAGUACUACAAUGAUACAUUAAGAGGAUGUUUCAUAUGUCUCACUAUACAUUGGUCAACGAAGGUCAACAAUCUCACCUGUAGGGGCAUUUUUCUCAAUUCACUCUUUUAAACGUAAUAAAAUCGAAAAAUUAAGGAUGGACUGUUAUACGUCGAGCAAAGUUUUUAAAAAAUAAUAAAAAUUUAUGAAAAUAACUAUAUUUUAAAAUUUAUAAUAUAAAAUUAAAUAAAAAAACAAAAAUAAAAUGGUUUAGGCGACGAAAUAUUUGGAUUACGUCGUG
rnacentral:lncRNA from 1 species